ACUGGUGAGACUCAAACUGCAGGAAGGCAGCAGGCAGCAGAAGUAGCCUGCAGUACUGCAUUCUAACCACUGCGCCACCAUGGCUUUUAUAAUCAUACAAAUCAACCAUGCACAAUGUCUUAUGGUGAAACCCAAAGGUGCUUUUUCAAGAGGCAACUGGACUUUCUGUUUUUUCUUUGAAAACGUUUUACUUCUCAUCCAAGAAGCUUCUUCAGCUCUGACUGGAUAGUGGAGAAUGGAAGGAUUUGCACUAUUCAGGUGACCCUGAGGACACAGAUAAACCUCCAAGUGGCCUCGACGACUCUAAAAGAAUGUCUGCAAGGAGUAUAAAUCCUUCCAUUCCCCCUAAAUAAGACCUAUUCCAAAUCAACCAUGGUUAUUGUAAAUUUCCAAACAUGAAAAAUAAGCCAGGCCCUCCUAUCCCAGAUCACUUCUUCAUGUAGGCUAGUGGGAAAGCAAAAUAUGUUCUAGAUUUUCUAGAACGUUGUUAAACUUAGAAAAAAUGAAGCAUUUAAUACAUCAUUGUUUCAGUGUUUUGAUGUCUUAUAAUGGAUCUGUUUUGUUUUUUACCGUAAUUCUUCCAAAUCAUGGAAAUUGAGAAAAUCCACUGUCCAUUUCCAUGCUUCCAUGAAGCAAGAUGAGAAAAGAUAUUGCCCCCUCCACUGAGGCCUGCUUAUUUAAGAAUUACAGAAGAAUAUGGCAGCCAUUGAUUCCCCAUCCUGCACCAGAGAAACAUUUUGGAAUCAUACUGCUGGGUUCUGCCUGGGUCACACAAGAUAUACCGGCUGUGUGUCCUCAUAAAACUUCAUUGGACAGACAUCAGAAUAAGACUGCCACCUCUCAGCUACCUACGUUUCCUGCUGUGUAUAUGAAAGUUAACAGAGUUAAC